ensembl:lncRNA
UGAGAGUGUAGGGGGGAGAUGGAAAUGAAAGUGAGUUAUAAGGUGUGUAAUCUUUAGUGUUAGCCAGACCCUCUCCAGUCAGCAUUCAACUUCACAAUGAACCUGCUCUAUCCACUCUUCUUCUGCAUGGUGUUCUGCCUCUGUGCCAGAGAAAGUAAGUCAGAACUGUUGUUGUAUCUCACUUCAUCUCAGCAGAUACUAUCUUAAUAUUUUACUGUAUGUGAAAUAUAUUAAUUCAGAGACCCGCUACACCAUUGCUGUUUUGCUAUCAGAAAAGAUUCCGUUUGUGAAGUAACAUUUAAAAUAUGUGUUUCCUGUAGCAGUGAGUUGGCCCAGCUUUUGCUGCUUGAAAAAAACUCAACAUAAAGGACUGCCUGUGAAAAAUGUUGCCGAUUGUAAAGUCCACCAUUCAGGACUUUGCCCCUUUGAUGCAAUCAGUAUCAAGACCCAUAAAGGCCGGAAACUCUGUUAUGAUCUAAAGGCAGAGUGGGUUAUUAAAAAUGUUGUGAUGAAGGGAAAAGACUCUUGUGAGGUGACCAUUCCACAGAACAACCCCUAUACCACUCAUAUGGCUUAUACUAAUGGUUCUUCAGUUAAGAUUACUAUAACAUUGGACUAAACUUGUAGGUCUGGUUGGCCUAGACUUAGUUGGAUAGAAUAGACUGUUUGUAAUCUAUUACAACUUAUAUCUUUAUGUGUUAUUAUGUCUUUUUUUUGUGUAUACUGUAAAUAAUAUGUAGUCCUCAGAAUUUGCAAAGUAUGUCAUGUACCAAUGUCACGUAAACGUACCCAUGUCUAAUACAUGACCUUUAAAAAAAUACCACAACAUCUGUAAUGAAGGUUGUAAUAUUUUUAUGAUGAAAUACAAAUUGUUUUGUUUACAUUUAGCAAUUUUGUUAGGAACACAUAACUAACACUUGAAUGUGACUCCAUAUAGAUAGUAUAUACAGUAUAUCCAUUAAUGUAGUACUAUCUAUAGAUUGUAAAUGCUAUAUAUAGUACAUUAGUCACUAUUUUACUCUGUAAUUAUUAUUUAGAAGUACUGAAUUCAAUAAUAAUAAUUUAAAUAUUUAAUAUCAGUAUAUAGUAUCUCAAUUAGGAGACUUGCUUGUUACUUUCUACUUCAUAUACUUCACACACUUUUGAUUGUGUAAUCUUGAUGACUUUUUAACUGUUCUGCACAUCAUACUUUACAUUCUGCUAUUCGGG